rnacentral:rRNA from 1 species
GACGAACGCUGGCGGCGUGCUUAACACAUGCAAGUCGAACGGAAAGGCCCUGCUUUUGUGGGGUGCUCGAGUGGCGAACGGGUGAGUAACACGUGAGUAACCUGCCCUUGACUUUGGGAUAACUUCAGGAAACUGGGGCUAAUACCGGAUAGGAGCUCCUGCUGCAUGGGGGGGGUUGGAAAGUUUCGGCGGUUGGGGAUGGACUCGCGGCUUAUCAGCUUGUUGGUGGGGUAGUGGCUUACCAAGGCUUUGACGGGUAGCCGGCCUGAGAGGGUGACCGGCCACAUUGGGACUGCGAUACGGCGCAGACUCCUACGGGAGGCAGCAGGGGGGAAUAUUGCACAAUGGGCGGAAGCCAGAUGCAGCAACGCCGCGUGCGGGAUGACGGCCUUCGGGUUGUAAACCGCUUUCGCCUGUGACGAAGCGUGAGUGACGGUAAUGGGUAAAGAAGCACCGGCUAACUACGUG